AUAAGACGUUUGCGCGUGACAGCUUCCAUAAUGAUAGUAUCUAUGGUCGAAGAAUAGGAUACUAGGAUAGCCUGUCUGGGGCAAGCUUUGAACACAUGUUGUUGUUAUUGUGUACACUAUACAGUGUCUGUUUAGGAUAGCGAAGAAUUGGUGAAAAUGGGGAAAACAACAAAAGACAAGAGAGAUAUUUACUACCGCAUGGCAAAAACUGAAGGGUGGAGAGCAAGGAGUGCUUUUAAACUGAUACAAAUUGAUGAAGAAUAUAAUAUUCUUUCAGGUGUACAAAGAGUUGUUGACCUUUGUGCAGCCCCAGGUAGCUGGAGUCAGGUUUUGUCCCAGAAAUUAAGGGCCAAAAAUGAGAGUGCAGACGAUAGUGUGAAGAUAGUGGCAGUGGAUUUGCAGUCAAUGGCCCCAAUUCCUGGUGUUAUCUGCAUACGGGGUGACAUAACAGACACCAAUACAGCUGAAAGAAUAAUAAAAGAGUUUGAUGGAUGUCCAGCAGAUCUUGUCAUUUGUGAUGGUGCACCAGAUGUUACUGGUCUACAUGAUCUUGAUGAGUAUGUUCAAUCGCAGUUGUUGCUAGCUGCAUUUAAUAUUACAUCACAUGUCUUGAAGCCAGGUGGAACAUUUCUUGCAAAGGUGUUCCGUGGAAAUGAUAUUGAUUUGGUUUAUUCACAGAUGAAGAUAUUUUUUCCCAGUGUUGUUGUUGUCAAACCAAGCAGCUCACGAAAUUCUAGUAUUGAGGCUUACAUACUGUGCAGGAACUACACACCACCUGAAGGCUACAAACCAACUAUGCUAAAUCCAUUACUUACACAAACAGAUUGUGACUUCAGGUCUCUCACUGAAGUUAACCGUGCUAUUGUUCCUUUUCUAAGCUGUGGAGAUUUGAAUCUGUACUGAUAGACAUCACUCACUGGCAGAAGAACUGUCAAAUUUCAAGAAGAACUAUAGCUUUUUCUUAUGGCUACUUCAUAAUAGUGACAGUAGCGAAAUGCAUCAAACAAGAGAAGUCCAGGAUGAAAUAACAACAAUAUGGAAAGGAUAGAUUACUGCUCACCACAUAGAGGGGGCAAUGUGUCACAGACAGGUACAGUGAAAAAGACUGCUGAAGCACCUCUGUGUGCCAAAUGAAGAAUGACUUAACUGCAGUUGAAACUAUACUUACUGGCUGCUUGUUACUUAAAGAACUUCAGUUGUGGGUGGUGCUAGAACUUUACAUGGCCUCCAACAAACAUUUACUAAGUGUUAAUUACACUGAUAUAGUGUCAGUGGUUUUUGUUUCAGGUUGCAGUAGUUUAUUCUGUGCAGAAACAUAAUGAUUGAAAUAUAUUACUUGUUUCUUAGAAAGGUAUUUUACCUUGUAGUGUAAAUUUUGUCAAUACUUUGAUGCAGCCGGCCAAAGUGGCCGUGCGGUUAAAGGCGCUGCAGUCUGGAACCGCAAGACCGCUACGGUCGCAGGUUCGAAUCCUGCCUCGGGCAUGGAUGUUUGUGAUGUCCUCAGGUUAGUUAGGUUUAAUUAGUUCUAAGUUCUAGGGGACUAAUGACCUCAGCAGUUGAGUCCCAUAGUGCUCAGAGCCAUUUGAACCAUUUGAACUUUGAUGCAGUAAGUGUACCCAUGGAGAAAGUUCCAGAAAGCUUGCGGUUCUUGUGGUACAAAUACAAAUUCUUCCAACAAAUCCAUUUUGUAGUAUUUGUAUGCAAUACAGCGAUUGAGUGGGACUCACUCUGCCAUUUCUUUUAUUCACAUCAUGUGGCAGAAUUAUAUUGAAUGUGCCCAACGACUCAGACAGUGUUUGAAUACAUGAGGUUAACGGUUUGUGAUAUACUCUAAGUUCACUGCUGAAUUAUAAAUUUUGAACAUAAUGGUGUAAUUUCUUGUGAAUUGACAGUGCAGCAUGUUUUUCUGUAAUCCUAAAUGGUACCAAAACAAAUGUGUGUUACACUUUUAAUGACAAGUUGUGUUUGCAAUAAAAUGCAUUUUAAUGA